rnacentral:rRNA from 1 species
UCCUACGGGAGGCAGCAGUAGGGAAUCUUCCGCAAUGGACGAAAGUCUGGGGGAGCAACGCCGCGUGAGUGAAGAAGGCCUUCGGGUCGUAAAAGUCUGUUGCCGGGGAAGAACAAGUGCCGUUCGAACAGGGCGGCGCCUUGACGGUACCCGGCCGAAAAACCCCGGCUAACUUUGUGCCAGCAGCCGCGGUUAAUAGUAGGUGGCAAGCGUUGUCUGGAAUUAUUGGGCGUAAAGCGCGCGCAGGCGGGUUUUUAAAUUUGAUGUGAAAUUCCCCGGCUCAACCGCAAGCGGUCAUUGGAAACUGGGAGGCUUGAGUGCAGAAGAGGAGAGUGGAAUUUCCCGUGUAGCGGUGAAAUGCGUAGAGAUGUGGAGGAACACCAGUGGCGAAGGCGGCUCUCUGGUCUGUAACUGACGCUGAGGCGCGAAAGCGUGGGGAGCAAACAGGAUUAGAUACCCUGGUAGUCCACGCCGUAAACGAUGAGUGCUAAGGUUAGAGGGUUUCCUCCCUUCAGUGCCGCAGUAACGCAUUAAGCACUCCGCCUGGAGACGCAAGGNG